UACGGGGGGAGCAAGCGCUGUUCGGAUUUACUGGGCGUAAAGGGCGCGUAGGCGGCCACCGCAAGUCGGUUGUGAAAUCUCCGGGCUUAACCCGGAACGGUCAAUCGAUACUGCGGGGCUAGAGUGCAGAAGGGGCAACUGGAAUUCUCGGUGUAGCGGUGAAAUGCGUAGAUAUCGAGAGGAACACCUGCGGCGAAGGCGGGUUGCUGGGCUGACACUGACGCUGAGGCGCGAAAGCUAGGGGAGCGAACGGG
rnacentral:rRNA from 1 species